rnacentral:rRNA from 1 species
AUUGAACGCUGGCGGCAGGCCUAACACAUGCAAGUCGAACGAGUGGCGGACGGGUGAGUAAUGUCUGGGAAACUGCCCGAUGGAGGGGGAUAACUACUGGAAACGGUAGCUAAUACCGCAUACCAUCAGAUGUGCCCAGAUGGGAUUAGCUAGUUGUUGGGGUAACGGCUCACCAAGGCGACGAUCCCUAGCUGGUCUGAGAGGGUGACCAGCCACACUGGAACUGUGACACGGUCCAGACUCCUACGGGGGGCAGCAGUGGGGAAUAGUGCACAAUGGGCGCAAGCCUGAUGCAGACAUGCCGGGGGUAUGAAGAGGGCCUUGGGGUUGUAAAGUACUUUCAGCGGGGAGGCGUUACCCGCAGAAGAAGCACCGGCUAACUCCGUGCCAGCAGCCGCGGUAAUUC